GUACCCGUAGCUCAAUUUGGAUAGAGCGCUGCCCUCCGGAGGCAGAGGUUUCAGGUUCAAAUCCUGUCGGGUGCG
rnacentral:tRNA from 1 species